rnacentral:lncRNA from 1 species
GCCCUCCCAUCAGAUGUUGAAGAAAUAAACAACUACCAGACUUUUAGAAGACAUCUGAAGCUACACUGAGAGCCAGCCACUUGGUGCCUAAUGAGUCUUUACGAAGGGCCUUCUGUUGACAGCAAGCAACAGUUAACAUUCAAACACCUGUUAAAAAGUCUGGCUCUGACAGGAAUAAACUGCUCCGUCGCUGCUAAUGGACUUUCCCCUCCUUACGAGGACAGCAUGAGCAAAGAGAGAAGAGACUGGAAUUUCUUAAUUGCAACCUUCCUUUCCUCAACCCCACCUCCUCCUUCCCAAACACAAGAUGUUUCUGUCGGGGAAAACAUCUUGGCUAAGAUUUUUUUUUCCAAAAAAGAAAUCUUGAUCAAGUGAUACACUACAUAGUACUGGGACAAAAGUUUCCAUUUUAAUGAAAUACAUGGGGUUUUUCUCCUCCAUCAAAACAGGAAAAAGAGCAUGUUUUUUAGAUGUCAGGAAAUCAUUUUUCACCAUCCAUAAAACCAAAUCUUGCAACAGGGGAGUCUGAUCCAGGCAGGAACGUCGAGAUAAGAUUGAGGAGCCUGAAUCUGCUUCUGUUGGCUUAUCAAACAUUGAUUGACACGAACUGCUUCAUCAGCCUUCUCCAGGUACUUCUGCAUUGGUCAAAAUAAAAAAAGCAAAGCCUUCAGUAAUGCAAGUAGACCCAUUUUCAGGACUUGGAUUCAGCACUUAAAUAUAGAAUGUAAACUGUGCCUUUUUGAAGCCUAAGGUAGAAGGUAAGGUAAAGGUAAAGGACCCCUGGACCGUUAAGUCCAGUCAAAGACGACUAUGUGGUUGCGGCGCUCAUCUCACUUUAGGCCAAGGAAGCCAGCGUUUGUCUACCAGACAGCUUUCCUUGUCAUGUGGCCAGCAUGACUAAACCACUUCUGGUGCAACGGGACACCAUGAUGGAAACCAGAGCGCACGGAAACACCGUUUACCUUCCUGCCACAACGGUACCUAUUUAUCUACUUGCACUGGCAUGCUUUCGAACUGCUAGGUUGGCAGGAGCUGGGACAGAGCAACGGGAGCUCACUCUGUCUGGGGAUUCAAACCGCCAACCUUCCGAUCGGCAAGCCCAAGAGGCACAGUGGUUUAGACCACAGUGCCACCAGCGUCCCUAAGCUAGUAUCUGAAUGCCACCCACUGUACUGGGACCAACUCUUUUAAAAGUCUUGCAUUCAGACACUGAUUUGUGCCUUUGUGACACCAUGAUGUAGCUAAAGUACCUGC